UGGGAAUAUUGCGCAAUGGGCGGAAGCCUGACGCAGCAACGCCGCGUGCGGGAUGACGGCCUUCGGGUUGUAAACCGCUUUCAGCAGGGACGAAGCGUGAGUGACGGUACCUGCAGAAGAAGCACCGGCCAACUACGUGCCAGCAGCCGCGGUGAUACGUAGGGUGCGAGCGUUGUCCGGAAUUAUUGGGCGUAAAGAGCUCGUAGGUGGUUGAUCGCGUCGAAAGUGAAAUCUCAGGGCUUAACCCUGAGCGUGCUUUCGAUACGGGUCGACUAGAGGAAGGUAGGGGAGAAUGGAAUUCCUGGUGGAGCGGUGGAAUGCGCAGAUAUCAGGAGGAACACCAGUGGCGAAGGCGGUUCUCUGGACCUUUCCUGACGCUGAGGAGCGAAAGCGUGGGG
rnacentral:rRNA from 1 species